rnacentral:rRNA from 1 species
GCACGAGCGCACCCCUUUCCUUAGUUGCCAGCACAUAAUGGUGGGGACUCUAAGGAUACUGCCCGGGAUAACCGGGAGGAAGGUGGGGAUGAUGUCAAGUCAGUAUGUCCCUUAUGUCCAGGGCUACACACGUGUUACAAUGGCCGGUACAAUGGGUUGCCAAACCGCGAGGUGGAGCCAAUCCCAAAAAACCGGUCUCAGUUCAGAUUGGAGUCUGCAACUCGACUCCAUGAAGCAGGAAUCGCUAGUAAUCGCGCAUCAGCACGGCGCGGUGAAUACGUUCCCGGGUCUUGUACACACCGCCCGUCACGCCAUGGAAGUCGGCAAUACCCGAAGCCGGUGACCUAACCCGCCUUUUGGCGGGAAGGAACCGUCGAAGGUAAGGCUGGUAACUGGGGCGAAGUCGUAACAAGGUAGCCGUACCGGAAGGUGCGGCUGGAUCACCUCCUUU